rnacentral:rRNA from 1 species
UACGUAGGGUGCAAGCGUUAUCCGGAAUUAUUGGGCGUAAAGAGCUCGUAGGCGGUUUGUCGCGUCUGCUGUGAAAACCCGAGGCUCAACCUCGGGCCUGCAGUGGGUACGGGCAGACUAGAGUGCGGUAGGGGAGAUUGGAAUUCCUGGUGUAGCGGUGAAAUGCGCAGAUAUCAGGAGGAACACCGGUGGCGAAGGCGGGUCUCUGGGCCGAUAUUGACGCUGAGGAGCGAAAGCGUGGGGAGCAAACAGG